UACGAAGGGGGCUAGCGUUGUUCGGAAUCACUGGGCGUAAAGCGCACGUAGGCGAAUCUUUAAGUCAGAGGUGAAAUCCCAAGGCUCAACCUUGGAACUGCCUUUGAUACUGUAGGUCUCGAGUCCGGAAGAGGUGGGUGGAAUUCCUAGUGUAGAGGUGAAAUUCGUAGAUAUUAGGAAGAACACGGUGGCGAAGGCGGCCCACUGGUCCGGUACUGACGCUGAGGUGCGAAAGCGUGGGGAGCAAACAGG
rnacentral:rRNA from 1 species